UGCACAAGCAAGAAUUCUGUUAGAAUGUUUUGAAAGAUCUUGUCUUCAAGUCUGCAUGUUAGUCAUCUAGUGCAAAAUGCUGGAAACAAGUGCA